GGGUUUACUUGCUGUUGUUGUGAAAGCUGAUUUAAUGACUGGUGUUGGUGUUUCCUCAGCAGAGCUGCAGCAGCGACAGAAGCCUCCUCCAGACUGCAUCCUGAACACUGCGACUCUACAAUCCAUCUUUGUACCAACCAUCCAGUGCAUGACCCCUCCAGAGCAUCCUUAUGUGUUUCCUGCUCAGAUUCUAUUCUGGCUUUAUUCGAGUUCAGUUGGAGAGAAAAUGAUGUCUGGGAUCGACUAACAUUCCUCAAGCCGUUUUAGUUUGGACUAAAAGUGCUUUUUUAAUUGUAGUAUCUGUGGAAUGAUCAACUUUUCUAUAUUCCUCUCCUUUUUAGGCGCUCCUUUUUAAAUAAAAGCCAACUGACAGGGUAUCGUGUUUCUAUGAAGGCGCUCGUCCUCAGCUUUAAGAGAUGCUACUGGCUCUGGGACUGAGGUCAUCAGUGAGACUCUCUGCAUGCGCUGUACCUUCACUUGUUGCUUUGCUCUUACUUUUGUGUUUUUAUCUCCUCCUCUGCCGGUUUGUUUGGUCAGUGUGACCUUUGAUUUCCAGACAUUCCAGUCAAACAGCCACUGAUCUAAAUAUUAAUGUUCAUCUUUUAUUUCUAUGCAUUGAUUUUUUUUCUUUCUUUAAAGCCAGUCAAAGCUUGUGAUUCCUCUGUAUUCAGCAUGUCAUCCUGUUAGUGGAACAGUUCUUUUCAUUUGGAGUCUCUGCUGUGCUGAAGGUUUGGUGACUCUUGUUGAUUUUAGACUCGUGUCCAGUGAACAUCUGUCUAUAUACUGUGAGACUGCCUCUGACUGAAGUAUUAAAAGUGCUCUUGUUAGUUGUGAGUGCCUAGAAUGGCUUUGAAUGUUGCCUUUAUUUAGGUCUGAAGGUCCGGUCACACCAGGAUUACUGUGUUCACUCACAGCAGGACAGAAAUCAGCACAAAUGUUUCAGUUUAACUUUAGUGGUGUCUAAACGGACUUUAUCGACCAAUAACAGGCUGUGUUUAUAGCGCUGAUCUUUGAAGGAUGGAGUCAGACGAGAACAAUGAUGAAGCUCAUUACAGAGGAUUAGUCACCAGUUCAGCCUCUGCUGCUGGUAGCUGGAUCUAUCAAUGCUGGUCGGAUGGAUUAAUUAUGUUUAAUAAUGAGCAGCGCCGUUAAUCUAAGAUGUUCCACAGCCAGUUUGGAACAGACAGAUGUAGUGUCAGACUGAAACCACAUAAAGCACAGAUAUGUGGAUGUUAAACCUGUUAGAAAAGAGGGUUCCUGGUGCUAGCAGUGCUAACGUUACCGCUCAGUCUGACAUCAUUUAGACACUGUGAUCCCGUUGAUUCUGAAAAGAUAACGCAGCUUCACUCAGCUUUGUUUCUGUAAUAAAUGAAAUCCAUCCAGACUUGUUCUGUUAUUAGACCAAACUAAGUUUAAAUCUCAGUUUAACAGGGAGGGGAGUCACCUGGAACACCUGUCCUCGUCGUGCUACCUGUUUCACCAUCCUUUUCUCUUUAACCUCCUCCAAAUAAAAAGAGGAAUGCUGUGUAGACAGUAGACUGCGGUUCAAGUGCCUCUUUCCAACACUAAAUGUUCAGAAAAUACCAGAACCUGCGGUCAGAACCACAUGGCUGUGUUUCAGUUAAUGUAUAAAACUAUUUCCAGUUCCACAAAUAAAAACACCACAUGCCAUUUGUUUAGCACAACUAGUGAGCACCACCUCCAUACCUGGCUCCUGGUAGAAUAAAAACCAGUGGAGCUCUCUGUUUGUUUGGUUCUGGUGGACGUUGUGUACCGUGUUGGGAAACAACAUGUUCGUCCAGAAGGACGUAACAGAAGCAUCUAGAAUCCAUCCAGACCUAAAGUCAAACACAGAUCACUGCUGUCUGUUUCCUGGUGUGACCAGACCUGACCAGGAGGAUCCUGUCAGGUCUUUGUUUUAACUUAUUGCUGUUAAACAGGAGAACCUCAGUACCGCUGCUGAUGUGGAUGUGGUCUGACAGAUUUAAAAUAUCUCCAUGUAAAAGUCCUGAUUUAUGAAUACCAUAAUUAAUCAAUCAACUGUUACCUUGAUUUCUGAUUGUGUAAAAGAAGUUUCAUUUCACGUUUUCUUAAAUGGCUUCGGUCUUUAUUUGUCAUUAAGCUUUUCUACGUUUUUUUUUUUCAGUUGAAAUCCAGAUGUGUUAUUAAUCUAAACCUUGUAUGCCAAUAAAUGAAACAUGUACA
ensembl:lncRNA